AUUUAAUAGCGCGGUAAAUAUUGUCACUGAGAGUCAUUUUUUGUGCUCGUUUUUCUCUCCCAAUCAAUCAGUUCCUCAAUGGGAUUUUUUUUUCGGGUCUCCUUUGCCCAGGUGACCACAGAGAUCCAAUACGGGUUUUCUCUCAAACCACAUGACAAAAACUGUCUACAUAACAAGGCACAGCCGAAACUCGCAUGGUUUUAACACAUCGGGCAGCUAUGCCAACCUUCCCAUCAAUUUCUGACAGUAGGAGGCGAUGCUGAGUGUCAGCGGCAGGAGGCACGACGUCUUCCACGGCUGAUCUGCGCAACUGAGAUCAGCAGAUUUUCUUUUACAGUCUAUUUAAUUCACAAAUAAAUGCACCUUUAUCAUA